AGAGUUUGAUCCUGGCUCAGAUUGAACGCUGGCGGCAGGCUUAACACAUGCAAGUCGAGCGGGGAAAGGUAGCUUGCUACCUGACCUAGCGGCGGACGGGUGAGUAAUGCUUAGGAAUCUGCCUAUUAGUGGGGGACAACAUUCCGAAAGGAAUGCUAAUACCGCAUACGCCCUACGGGGGAAAGCAGGGGAUCUUCGGACCUUGCGCUAAUAGAUGAGCCUAAGUCAGAUUAGCUAGUUGGUGGGGUAAAGGCCUACCAAGGCGACGAUCUGUAGCGGGUCUGAGAGGAUGAUCCGCCACACUGGGACUGAGACACGGCCCAGACUCCUACGGGAGGCAGCAGUGGGGAAUAUUGGACAAUGGGCGCAAGCCUGAUCCAGCCAUGCCGCGCGUGUGAAGAAGGCCUUUUGGUUGUAAAGCACUUUAAGCGAGGAGGAGGCUACUUGGAUUAAUACUCUAGGAUAGUGGACGUUACUCGCAGAAUAAGCACCGGCUAACUCUGUGCCAGCAGCCGCGGUAAUACAGAGGGUGCGAGCGUUAAUCGGAUUUACUGGGCGUAAAGCGUGCGUAGGCGGCUUCUUAAGUCGGAUGUGAAAUCCCUGAGCUUAACUUAGGAAUUGCAUUCGAUACUGGGAAGCUAGAGUAUGGGAGAGGAUGGUAGAAUUCCAGGUGUAGCGGUGAAAUGCGUAGAGAUCUGGAGGAAUACCGAUGGCGAAGGCAGCCAUCUGGCCUAAUACUGACGCUGAGGUACGAAAGCAUGGGGAGCAAACAGGAUUAGAUACCCUGGUAGUCCAUGCCGUAAACGAUGUCUACUAGCCGUUGGGGCCUUUGAAGCUUUAGUGGCGCAGCUAACGCGAUAAGUAGACCGCCUGGGGAGUACGGUCGCAAGACUAAAACUCAAAGGAAUUGACGG
rnacentral:rRNA from 1 species